AGGUAACAGGCCAAGAGAAGUGCUUGCAGCUUGAGACACCAGUGAGAAGAGGGCCCUGCGCAGUUUCACAUUUACUAGCUGUCAGUUUAGCUGGGAAUUUCUGGGUGGAGCCGGGCAGUGCAGUGCACAUUUGUGGUGUUGGAGGGGUGAUCGCUGUUUCCAGCUCUUUAUUGUUGCUUGGUGCCUGGAGCCAUGACCUCCUUUCCUGGUUACUCAUGAGAUACUAUCUUAAGGAGUCACUGUAAGCUACUGCCGCCUGCUGCUGGACACAGGCGGUCACUUCUACUCCAAGCCCCUUGGAUUUGGUCCCCACGGCUGAGGAAACUGACCUUUCUGUGUCCACUUGUCUACGAGGGACCUCCAGGCGGAUCCCUCCUGUUGCAGUGCUGCAUGGGUGUGGGAUCUCAUUCCUCUGGCUCUGCCAGCACUGCUGCAAGUGCUCUGCUACCAGGCCCUGCUGUGGGUGCCCCUCCGUGGGGCCCUGGGCAGCAACAGUGAGGCAGUGAGAGAAUGUACCCAGCUACUCUGCCGGGUGAUCAGCUGGCACGGGGCUGGAGCUGAGUGGCAGGACAGCAUGGAUGCCCAUGAGCUGCCCCCCUGUGAUCUCCACUUCCCCCACCUUUUCCACCUUCUGACGAGGAUGCCCCAUCCCCAGCCCCUGCCUCCUGGUCCUACCCUGGCGGGAUCUGCACCCAACAUCUCUGCCCACCCAGGGGUUCUAUGGCAGGUGUGGCAGAAGCUGAGUCUCCUCGAGCGGACCCAGGUGCUUUAGUUUUUUCUUAUUUAAACAGAAAAGCUUCUGUGACGUUCUCCUGGAACUGUUUUGGAAUGAAUUAAAAUUUUUAUCUUUUUACUAUU